UGGGGAAUUUUGGACAAUGGGCGAAAGCCUGAUCCAGCAAUGCCGCGUGUGUGAAGAAGGCCUUCGGGUUGUAAAGCACUUUUGUCCGGAAAGAAAUCCUUGGCUCUAAUACAGUCGGGGGAUGACGGUACCGGAAGAAUAAGCACCGGCUAACUACGUGCCAGCAGCCGCGGUAAUACGUAGGGUGCAAGCGUUAAUCGGAAUUACUGGGCGUAAAGCGUGCGCAGGCGGUUUGCUAAGACCGAUGUGAAAUCCCCGGGCGUCAACCUGGGAACUGCAUUGGUGACUGGCAGGCUAGAGUAUGGCAGAGGGGGUAGAAUUCCACGUGUAGCAGUGAAAUGCGUAGAGAUGUGGAGGAAUACCGAUGGCGAAGGCAGCCCCUCGGCAGUCAACUGACGCUCAUGCACGAAAGCGUGGGGAGCAAACAGGAUUAGAUACCCUGGUAGUCCACGCCCUAAACGAUGUCAACUAGUUGUUGGGGAUUCAUUUCCUUAGUAACGUAGCUAACGCGUGAAGUUGACCGCCUGGGGAGUACGGUCGCAAGAUUAAAACUUAAAGGAAUUGACGGGGUCAUAGCUGUUUCCU
rnacentral:rRNA from 1 species